rnacentral:rRNA from 1 species
AUGAACGCUGGCGGCAGCCCUAACACAUGCAAGUCGACCGGAUGAAGGGACUUCCUCCCUGAUUCAGCGGCGGACGGUGAGUAAUGCCUAGAAUCUGCCUUGGUAGUGGGGGACAACGUUCCGAAAGGAGCGCUUAAUACCGCAUACGUCCUACGGGAGAAAGUGGGGGAUCUUCGGACCUCACGCUAUCAGAUGAGCCUAGGUCGGAUUAGCUAGUAGGUGGGGUAAUGGCUCACCUAGGCGACGAUCCGUAACUGGUCUGAGAGGAUGAUCAGUCACACUGGAACUGAGACACGGUCCAGACUCCUACGGGAGGCAGCAGUGGGGAAUAUUGGACAAUGGGCGAAAGCCUGAUCCAGCCAUGCCGCGUGUGUGAAGAAGGUCUUCGGAUUGUAAAGCACUUUAAGUUGGGAGGAAGGGCAUGUAAGUUAAUACCUUGCUGUUUUGACGUUACCAACAGAAUAAGCACC